AAUUAUUNGGAGGGCUUUGAGCCUAGAAAUCACUGUCGGAAUCGUUUGGGCUGUGCCAAAUUUUGACACCUUUUUUGGCGUAAUGCUGAGUUAGGUGUGGUCUCAGCAUAAUGGCUUCGUGUGGAAAAAAUUAUGCAGUCAAUUUUUACACUUGAGAUCAGCAAAUAUGCCAACCAAACGAGUUAGAAAAAGAGAACAAGAAAGUGGAAUGCGGAAGUAAAAGUCAAGCUUGGCUUGCUUAUCAGCUAAUUUACGUAACCUAACAUGAAAAUGACUAAUUCAGUGAUAAAUUUUAUUUAUUUCAAUAAUGUUAUUUAUCUAGAGUAAUGAUGAUUAUCAGUAUGUGUGACAAUGUAUGGUCUUGAAAAUGUGGCAAGAUCAUUAUAGCUCUAGAUAAAUAGUAUUACUCUAUUAAGUAACACUACUCAUUUAUUUAGAAUCUAGAAGAUUAUCGUUCUGACAUUAUGGCAAAGGUUUCAUUCUCAACCGUUUUUGUUGAAUGAAUUUCUGUAGAUUCGUGAGUAAGAGUAGUUUAACCAUCAAAUGUUACAACAAUAAAGUUAGGGUUUUGGGGUUUAUUGUACUUUUUUUUUUUAUUAGACUAUGUGACAGUGAUUCGAUUGCUAUGAAUAGCAGCGACUCUAUUGCUAUGAAUAGCACAGGAUGGUGCCUUUUCAGCAGUGUUACAACUACCAGGUUACCCACAUGAUAUCCGGAGUCAUUAUCUGAGGUGCGGAAAUAUUUGGCAUAUAAAAUUUCAUCGAUAAAGAAAUUGUAGGUUUUGUUGUAUGAAUUAUGAUUUCCCUUUGAGAAACCCUUUUCAAGCUUGUAACAUGUAUCUUAAAUCGUGAAAGUUCUCAAGUAUUGAAUUUUCUUUUGGAUUGACGCUUUUCAAGUCACAUAUUUUCAGAAAGACAAUUUUUGAACUGUUAGUAAAAG
rnacentral:lncRNA from 1 species